AUUUCAUUUUUUUUUAAUAUUGGCUGAAUGUAAAAGGCUUCUCCUUUUCUCUAGUAGCGUGUGUUGAUCAUUCACUCAAUAAAAUUAUGAUUUACUUUUAUGUUGGGUCCAUACAUCUUCUUAGGUUUUUGGAAGUGUAAUGAAAAAGGUUGACAUCUUUCCAGUGAUUCAGUCCAGAAAUAGCUCUUUCCCACUUAUUAUUUUAGCUAGUCAAGCAAACAAAAUUUCUGAAUAUAACUUCAACUUUCUGAAUAUGGAUGGUAAUGCUACAUGUGUGCUUCAGUGCAUGGUCUUGUACUUUCUUCCAAUAAUGAACUACACCCUAUUGAAUGAAGCAAAAGAUACCUUCUCUCAUAUGCAUCUAUCUCAAGAAAAGUUGCAUAUGAGAGAAGGUAUCUUU
rnacentral:misc_RNA from 1 species